rnacentral:rRNA from 1 species
CCUACGGGAGGCAGCAGUAGGGAAUAUUGCUCAAUGGGGGAAACCCUGAAGCAGCAACGCCGCGUGGAGGAAGAAGGUUUUAGGAUUGUAAACUCCUUUUGUUAGGGAAGAUAAUGACGGUAUCUCACGAAUAAGCACCGGCUAAUUCCGUGCCAGCAGCCGCGGUAAUACGGAGGGUGCAAGCGUUACUCGGAAUCACUGGGGGUAAAGAGUGCGCAGGCGGGGUUGUAAGUCAGAUGUGAAAUCCUGUAGCUUAACUACAGAACUGCAUUUGAAACUAUGAGUCUAGAGUGUGGGAGAGGUAGGUGGAAUUCUUGGUGUAGGGGUGAAAUGCGUAGAUAUCAAGAGGAAUACUCAUUGCGAAGGCGACCUACUGGGGUGCGACUGACGCUGAGGCUCGAAGGUGCGGGUAUCAAACAGGAUUAGAUACCCGAGUAGUC